GACUAAAAGUGCCAAAAUUAAAUAAAUAAAUACAUCAUUAAAUAAUUAAUUAAAUAUGUCAUUAAUUAAUUAAAAUUGGAAUUAAAUAUGUCAUUAAUUAAUUAAAAUUGGAAUUAAAUAUUUCAUUAAUUAAUUAAAAUUGGAAUUAAAUAUUUCAUUAAUUAAUUAAAAUUGGAAUGAAAUACUUAAAUGUGUUAUUAAAUAAAUAUAUCAUUAAAUAAUUAAAUAUGUCAUUAAUUAAUUAAAAUUGGCAUUAAAUAUGUCAUUAAUUAAUUAAAAUUGGCAUUAAAUAUGUCAUUAAUUAAUUAAAAUUGGAAUUAAAUACAUAAAUGUGUUAUUAAAUAUGUCAUUAAUUUAUUAAAAUAACAAUUAUUUUAAGUAAAAAACAUAUUUCAUUAUUUCACUAUUUAAUUAAUUAUUUCAUGGUCCUUGCGUUGCAGUGGAUCAUGAAUUUAUUUUAUCUGUCAACCUCGCCCGUCAAAGUCGGUGGGCGGAUCCUAACACCUGAUUGGUUACCCUGCACAUCAAGUCAAGGCAAAUCGAUUCCAGAUAAUGGAUUGACGCAGAGCUUGUGAACACAUUCCGAUACACUGGGUGGCGCUAUUCACCUCUACGUUGGUUUGGAUACUCAAUAAAACAAAACUUUAUUAGCAACCGCUAAAGACUCGGUCCUCUUUCCCAAAUGUUGAUACAUUCGGUGCAAGACAAAUUUUCUUUUAGCACUUCCUUUAGCAUCUACUCGGCGCGCCACGGCUCGUCUCGGUUUAGUUGUUUUUCCAUUACAUUGAGUACCACCUCAUCGUGGGUUGAGUCGUCAUAGCACGGUGGCCCGAAAGUCCCUUACCGUCAUUUUUGUGCGACACAAACGCAAUGCAACAAUGUACAUGGAGGCGAUAGUACACCUGCUGCUCGGUCUGUGGCUUUCUGUCAGAUUCAGAGUAACAGAAGAGUCGGAGAAAGCUGAGAGCGACGAGUCGAAACACUCAGGAGACACACAGGAGAGUUUGGGAGGCGAUACAGCAGUAUCAAGCUGAAGACAUGUGAGGAUGCUCUCUGAUGAGACUUCAUGGGAUUUACCUGAAGCAGCAGCACAUGAGCCUGCAGUGGCACAAGGUGUAGAGGAGGAGGACAGAGAUGUACAGGAUGCACUGAUGCACUACGUGUCAUGCAAAGUUAUUCUUCUUGUUAUACUUCUGUUUUUCUGUCCCCGGACCGCUAUUGUUUUCUUUAAUGCAAUUCUGACAAUAAACUUUUGUAGAUGUGUCUA